UUCCGGUUGAUCCUGCCGGACCCUACUGCUAUCGGGGUGGGACUAAGACAUGCGAGUUGUGCGUCUCUAAGCUAUGGUAGAGACGCAGCGUACGGCUCAGUAACACGUGGCUAACCUGCCCUUAGGACGGGGACAACCCCGGGAAACUGGGGCUAAUACCCGAUAGGCGAGGAGGCCUGGAAUGGUUUUUCGCUGAAAUGGCGUUGAAACCAUGCUUUUCAACGUCGCCUAAGGAUGGGGCCGCGUCCGAUCAGGUUGUUGGUGAGGUAACGGCUCACCAAGCCUAUAACCGGUACGGGCCGUGAGAGCGGGAGCCCGGAGAUGGGCACUGAGACAAGGGCCCAGGCCCUACGGGGCGCAGCAGUCGCGAAAACUCCGCAAUGCGCGAAAGCGUGACGGGGCUACCCCGAGUGCCGUCCGCUGAGGAUGGCUUUUCCCCGGUGUAAUGAGCCGGGGGAAUAAGGAGAGGGCAAGACUGGUGUCAGCCGCCGCGGUAAUACCUGCUCUUCGAGUGGUAGGGACGAUUAUUGGGCUUAAAGCGUCCGUAGCCGGCUUAGCAAGUCUCCUGUUAAAUUCAGCGACCUAAUCGUUGAGCCGCGGGAGAUACUGUUGGGCUAGGAGGCGGGAGAGGCCGACGGUAUUCUCGGGGUAGGGGUGAAAUCCUAUAAUCCCGGGAGGACCACCAGUGGCGAAGGCUGUCGGCUAGAACGCGCUCGACGGUGAGGGACGAAAGCUGGGGGAGCGAACCGGAUUAGAUACCCGGGUAGUCCCAGCUGUAAACGAUGCGGGCUAGGUGUUGGGGUGGCUACGAGCCACUUCAGUGCCGCAGGGAAGCCAUUAAGCCCGCCGCCUGGGGAGUACGGCCGCAAGGCUGAAACUUAAAGGAAUUGGCGGGGG
rnacentral:rRNA from 1 species